UACAACUUUCAGCAACGGAUCUCUUGGCUCUCCCAUCGAUGAAGAACGCAGCGAAAUGCGAUAAGUAAUGUGAAUUGCAGAAUUCAGUGAAUCAUCGAAUCUUUGAACGCACCUUGCGCCCUUUGGUAUUCCGAAGGGCAUGCCUGUUUGAGUGUCAUUAA
rnacentral:rRNA from 1 species